UUUAAGCUUUAAAAGUAUGUAAAUCAAAGGGCAAAUAAAUUAUAUUUAAGCUAUUAAUUACACAGUGCAUAUGCCUUUACUUACUUUCCUAACUAGCUAUAAGUAAUGAAUUUCUCCAGUGUUUAUUUAAACAGUUUAUUUUUCAAGACAGGUAUAUGUUGCACCCCUAUAAGUGCUACAUAUUUCCUUUUAGGAAGCACAAAUAUGCAGUACGUUUAGUAGCUUGGUGGAGACGUUUUGGGUUUGUUAUUUUUUCCUAACAACUGAGGAAGGAGCUGUGUUUGUGUCCAGGCACCACUUCUUUAAUUGUACAACGAAUAAAAGAAGGCGACAACUAGAGCAAGCAAGAGCAUUGUUAAGGGCCGAGGAUUUAGCUCAGUGGUUCCGCCACCUGCCUCUCAAACGCAAGGUCCCAGUUUCGAUCCCUGGGCAAUCCUCAUGCUCUCGCUUUGUGCUCAGCAAGAACACCUGGGAUUCUUCAGCUUUGCCAUGUGUAGAGAACAGCCCAAAAAUAGGCCUGCUAAAACUUCCAAGAUGGAUUGCUAGACUUUGUGAGUCACCUCUGAAACUUAAAGCUCUGCGCUUUGUGAUUUUUGUUUGCAUCAUUAG
rnacentral:lncRNA from 1 species